UCCCUUCGGCCUGCUCUAGAGCAUAGGCUGUUCUGAAUCUCCAGCUUGCAGUAUUCACUAUAUCCACCUUCUGCCAAAAGACCACACGGAGCAACUUCAAAUCACCUAGAGCCAGGCGAGAUCAGAGCAUGGGGUGGGAAGUACAAUGCUGAUUAGGGCUUGUCAUGAUAAAGAAGCUUAAACUGAAUUAAUUAGGCUUCCUCCUAGUGUGAAGCACAGCAUCCUGGGAGACGAUGCCUAUUUAAAACAAAGACCCACUCCAGUGAAAUCCA